AAUUUCAUCACUAAAUUCACCACUUCUCCAGAAACACUUCCUUUUUAAAAAUAUCCUCUCGUCUUUCACAGUAAAUACACAAACACUCGCAGACGCCGACUGUGGACGAACUGCUCACAAUCACUGGACAGCUGCGAUGGUCGUCGGUCUGACGGACGUCGGUUUGCUCAUCGCCGUGAUGCAAGGUGUCUUCAGCAGAACCUGGAAAAUAACGCUGCCUCGGAGCAUCGAGAGCCUCGGUAACUCCUGCGUCACCGUCCCGUGUCGCUUCGAGGUCCCGGGCAACCAGGAAGCAAACGUGCUGAACUGCUCCGACAGCGGCGUGUGGAGGAGGGGAAGCCUCAGCGGUCCGAUCGUCCUGAACUCACUCAAUCCUUCCGCCAACGUCUUACAAGUGGGUCGAGUCUUUGUCGGCGAAAAGCUUGGACAAGUUGUCGGCGACUUGAAGAGGAAGAACUGCACCACGAUGAUCCAUCGCUUCUCGAAGAGCGACAACGACGUCUACUUCUUCAGGCUCGACUGUCCCAACCUCAAGUUCACUUUCAGCGACGGCGUCCUCAUCACCGCUCAGACAGAGCCGCCCCCUCCCCAGCUCACCUUCGUGGAUCAGUUGCCAGAGGGGGACCAGGUGAGGAUGCAGUGCUCCGCCCCGGUGUCCUGCUCCACCCUGCCCCCCUCCCUCACCUGGUCCCCCCAGGACAGCUCCAGACGGGAGGAGUCACAGAUGCUGCAGAACGAAGACGGGCAGACGACCUUGACAUCCACGAUGACCUUCAUGGCCUCAGCCGACCAUCACAACCAGAGCGUCAUGUGCUCCGCCUCCUACCUGCUGUCGGAGGGCAGAAGGACGUCGAGAGGAACCCGGAGACUCAACGUCCUGUAUGCUCCCAGAUUCACUACGGCAACGAUCAACACGUCCGGUCCCGUUUCCGAGAGAGAAACUGUGACGUUCGCGUGUUCGAGCGACGCCAACCCUCCUGUCAGACGAUACAGCUGGUUCAGAGGCGACCGCGGGAAGCUCACCAGGAUUGGACAAGGAGCAACACUGGUCCUGCAGGUGAACCCGAAGGACAGCGGGGAGUAUCUGUGUGAAGCUCAGAGUCUGAGGGGCUCUCAGAGGAGCAGACCUGUGUUUUUGGAGGUCACCGCCAUUCAAGCCACAGGCAGCAGUGAGGGUUCGGUGAUGAUUCCCUACAUUAUCUGUGGAGCCGUGUUGCUUCUCUACGUUCUGACUGUUGCUGUCGAUUUGUACAAAUAUCAAAGUCUUUCCAAGAGGCUGAAGAAGAUUGAGCAGAAGGGGGAACACACCUACAUCGAUCUGCAGACCUUCAGCCUCACCUCCGACUAUGACCAUCUCAAGGCUUGUUGGAACGCCAUCUAAAAUGCAGUCAAAGAUACUGACUGCAUUGCCCUCCCGGCGAACUUCCCUUCAUGCAAUCUUUGCCUACACAGCGACGUGUAGUUUAAACCGAAGCCGCCACCUGAAGAUGCCGACUAUGAGAAUAGCAUUGCCAUGGAGACCACAGUCAAAAAUCAGCCACAGCCAAAUCGGACCUGAAGGCCUGGGACGAAGAUUUGAUUCAAGUUGUUUAAACAUACAUUGUGCAUUUGUCAAUUAAGGUAUAACAAGAUUUUGUGCAGAUUCAAAUAUAUUGACUCCACAUUAUCUAGCUUCUUCUUACAAGAAUUUCUUGAAUCCUAUUUCUAUUAAAAACAAUAUUUUUUUUGUCACUGAA